rnacentral:rRNA from 1 species
AAUGAACGUUGGCGGCGUGGAUUAGGCAUGCGAGUCGUGCGAGAACCGUAGCAAUACGGGGACAGCGGCGAAAGGGAGAGGAACACGUGGAUACCUACCCUCAGGUUCAGGAUAGCUAUGGGAAACUAUAGGUAAUACUGAAUAAUAUCUCCGGAUCAAAGGUGUGAUUCCGCCGGAGGAGGGGUCCGCGUCCUAUUAGCUAGUUGGUGAGGUAAUGGCUCACCAAGGCGAAGAUGGGUACGGGAUGUGAGAACAUGAUCCGCUCAUUGGGACUGAGACACUGCCCAGACACCUACGGGUGGCUGCAGUCGAGAAUCUUCGGCAAUGGGGGAAACCCUGACCGAGCGACGCCGCGUGUGAGAUGAAGGCCUCGG